CGGCGGACGGGUGAGUAACACGUGGGUAAUCUGCCUUAUACAGGGGGAUAACAGUUAGAAAUGACUGCUAAUACCGCAUAAGCGCACGGGAACGCAUGUUUCUGUGUGAAAAACUCCGGUAGUAUAAGAUGAGCCCGCGUCUGAUUAGCUGGUUGGUGGGGUAACGGCCUACCAAGGCGACGAUCAGUAGCCGGCCUGAGAGGGUGAACGGCCACAUUGGGACUGAGACACGGCCCAAACUCCUACGGAAGGCAGCAG
rnacentral:rRNA from 1 species